rnacentral:rRNA from 1 species
CCUACGGGUGGCAGCAGUGGGGAAUAUUGCACAAUGGGGGAAACCCUGAUGCAGCGACGCCGCGUGAAGGAAGAAGUAUUUCGGUAUGUAAACUUCUAUCAGCAGGGAAGAAAAUGACGGUACCUGACUAAGAAGCCCCGGCUAACUACGUGCCAGCAGCCGCGGUAAUACGUAGGGGGCAAGGGUUAUCCGGAUUUACUGGGUGUAAAGGGAGCGUAGACGGCGUGCCAAGUCUGAUGUGAAAGGCCGGGGCUCAACCCCGGGACUGCAUUGGAAACUGGCAUGCUGGAGUGCCGGAGGGGCAAGCGGAAUUCCUGGUGUAGCGGUGAAAUGCGUAGAUAUUAGGAGGAACACCGGUGGCGAAGGCGGCUUGCUGGACGGUAACUGACGUUGAGGCUCGAAAGCGUGGGGAGCAAACAGGAUUAGAUACCCGGGUAGUC